ensembl:lncRNA
GUGAGAGGCUUUGGGUUAGGAAGGUAAAGACUACUGUUAACACCAUGUUCAUUGAAAAUAUGUGGAUUGAACCCGGCAGGAGGCCCCUUCAUGAAAGACCUAGGUCAUGCAGGUGUGUGGCAAGGAAUUCCUGGCAGCCUGUCAGAGCAGGGCUGUCCAGGUCUCCCUUGCUGUCACACCAGGUCGCUCUUAAUGAGGGCAGCACCCCAUGCGCUUUGUACUGUGGGAGGUAACUUUCCUUGUUUGACAAGUGGAGGUUUCUAGAUUGUUAAAGGGAGGGCAGGAGUUGCUUUGUCCUCGUUUUUUGUUUGUUUGUUUCUAUAAUGAUUAGAUUUGCAAAAGAGAUAAGACUGAGACAAAAGGACUGUCUUCAGAUAUGCUCCUGGGAGGCUCUGCCCUGUACUUGUCACAGCUCAGGGUUGCAAUUUUGCCCAAAUGCGUUUUACACCACUGUAAAGAGACUCUCUGUGGUCAGUUACCCAGCCUGGGAGCCCACCAGGUGAUCCGCAGACUCUCCACACUGUGUGCUCUGUAGACCUGGCCAUGCUUGUGUUGGUGACAGUCUCGCCUUAACCACACUUUAAGCAACACACAAAAAUGGUUUCGUCCCAGAUUUGUUUCCUAAAUUUUUUAUGAUUCUGACCCUGUGAUUCGAUCAGGUUAUCUUUUCUUUCCCUGUCAUUGUCUUUCAUUCUGUCAUCCCACUAUGCUUUUUGCCCUCUUUUCCUGCAAGAACAGUCACAGGAAGUGGCCUCCUGGUUUUCAGACUUAUUUGAAUAAUGGAAACCAACAGCUGCCGCGUACAUUAUUUUUCCAAGAGGGCUAAGCUCUGAACCUAGCCACUGCAACCAUCCCAAUAUUGAUGAAAAGCUGAAUUUACUUCAGCAUUACUUAUAUUUUCCAUUUGAUGGUUCUUGACUUUGUAAAAAUUUAAAUAAAUGAAUGUCUAUAAUUUUUAUAAAGAAAAGUGAAAAUACCAAUGACAAAAAGAUGAUACUGUCAGAUGUUG